rfam:Absidia repens strain NRRL 1336 BCR42scaffold_12, whole genome shotgun sequence.
GCCCUCUUGGCUCAGUUGGCAGAGCGUCUGCCUAGUAAGCAGAAGGUCAUCAGUUCGAUUCUGAUAGCGGGCA